AAUGGGAAGAGAGGAUCAGCGGUGACAGCGGAAACACUCUGAGAGAGGGAGCCACCAAAGCAUUUCGGGAGUUGUAUUCUUGGCAUCGCGACGGGUGUUGAAGGGACGUUUGGAGGCGGUCCAACAAUUCGGUUUUCCCCUUUGAAAGAAGAACGGCCAAAACGGAGUCCUGUUUUAAUACUUCAAUCAUAUGGAGAGGACCUUCACUCCGUCGCACCAAGGUUUGGGUGGCUGCCCCCAGACUCUGGCACUCCCUCCCUGAGGAGACCAGCAUGGCUUCAUACCUGCUUGUAGGCAGGUAGAGACAUUCCUCUGCAACCAGAAUAUGUUCCUGAAAGGAUGAUGUUAUUGGACAUGUGCUAGUAGUAUAACUGGAACUUCUCUGAUCAACAGAAUAUUCUUCAACAGAGUCAACAGCUUAAGGGGAAGGAGCGUGUAGUUCACAUUAUCCUGUGUCAAUUAGGCUGUAGUCCAAUGUGUUACUUGGCAUUAAAAUCAAAUGAAUUUAAA